UCCCUGCUAGUCCAGUGGCUAAGACUCUGUGCUUCCAAUGCAGGGGGCCUGGGUUCAAUCCCUGGUUAGGGAA
rfam:TPA: Bos taurus chromosome 22, whole genome shotgun sequence.